AGAGUUUGAUCCUGGCUCAGAUUGAACGCUGGCGGCAUGCCUAACACAUGCAAGUCGAACGGCAGCGCGGGGGCAACCCUGGCGGCGAGUGGCGGACGGGUGAGGAAUACAUAGGAAUCUACCCUGUCGUGGGGGAUAACGUAGGGAAACUUACGCUAAUACCGCAUACGACCGAGAGGUGAAAGCGGCGGACCGCAAGGCGUCGCGCGGCUGGAUGAGCCUAUGUCCGAUUAGCUAGUUGGCGGGGUAAGAGCCCACCAAGGCGACGAUCGGUAGCUGGUCUGAGAGGAUGAUCAGCCACACUGGAACUGAGAUACGGUCCAGACUCCUACGGGAGGCAGCAGUGGGGAAUAUUGGACAAUGGGCGCAAGCCUGAUCCAGCAAUGCCGCGUGGGUGAAGAAGGCCUUCGGGUUGUAAAGCCCUUUUGUACGGGAAGAAAAGCACUCGGUUAAUACCCGGGUGUGAUGACGGUACCGUAAGAAUAAGCACCGGCUAACUUCGUGCCAGCAGCCGCGGUAAUACGAAGGGUGCAAGCGUUAAUCGGAAUUACUGGGCGUAAAGCGUGCGUAGGCGGUUGGUUAAGUCUGUCGUGAAAGCCCUGGGCUCAACCUGGGAAUGGCGAUGGAAACUGGCCAGCUAGAGUGUGAUAGAGGAUGGCGGAAUUCCCGGUGUAGCGGUGAAAUGCGUAGAGAUCGGGAGGAACAUCCGUGGCGAAGGCGGCCAUCUGGAUCAACACUGACGCUGAGGCACGAAAGCGUGGGGAGCAAACAGGAUUAGAUACCCUGGUAGUCC
rnacentral:rRNA from 1 species